rnacentral:rRNA from 1 species
GACAGAGGGUGCAAACGUUGUUCGGAAUUACUGGGCGUAAAGCGCGUGUAGGCUGCUUGGCAAGUCGGAUGUGAAGGCCCUGGGCUCAACCCAGGAAGUGCAUUCGAAACUGCCGAGCUGGAGUCCUGGAGAGGAAGGCGGAAUUCUCGGUGUAGAGGUGAAAUUCGUAGAUAUCGAGAGGAACACCGGUGGCGAAGGCGGCCUUCUGGACAGUGACUGACGCUGAGACGCGAAAGCGUGGGGAGCAAACAGG